rnacentral:lncRNA from 1 species
UUUUUUUUUUUUUUUUUUUUGCACACAAGCCUAUGGAAAAUAGUUCAGAACCCCAGCACUCGGGAGCCAGAGGCGGGUGGAUUUCUGUGAGUUUGAAGACAGCCUGGUCCUCAGAAAGGACAGGUAGUAAUGUUGUGUGUAAAACUGAGACUAAGGUUGUUUAAUAAUAGAUCAGGAAAAGAUUACUAAGUGCUUGUUUAUAUCAGUACAGUUCUAGUGUGUUUGGAGUGUGUUUGUUCUGGAUAGGGGUGCUUUGCUUUUUUCAAACUGGGGGUGCACCUCAGAGCCCUCUGAUCGUGCCCUGCUCAUAAACAUGCCACAUAGGGUCCCACAGAAAGCCAGGAGGCCCAAGGAUCAAGGAAAAAAACCCACAGGGAGCUCCCACUGUGACUUCCACAGAAAGGGCUGGACAGCAAGGGUCAGCAAGGCUCAGGUGGGCUGGGUGGGAUGACUUCAAGGCUGCCGGGCAGGCAUGGGGCUGUCCCUCGCUGACUCCUUGCCUACAGAUGAUUAUGGGAAGGUGGUCACAUAGCCAGGACCUGAUAAGGGCGGUGGCUGUGGCCGGUGUGGUUUCGAGCAGGCUGAUACAUUUUAAAGGCUAGCUCACAAGCAGUUUGUUAACUCUGCAGUAACAGCCAACCCUGGAAGGGCAGGGCCAAGCCCUCUGGAAUAAGUAAAGCCUGAAUAUACAUAAAUAAUAAAUGAAAACGGUGAACACGAUUGAGCAUGGUGGUUACACCUGUGAUCCCUGAGGAUGACUGGAACUCACUGCUCCAGGCCAGGAGUUGUCACUGCAGUUCAGAGCCUGCUGCUCAGUGGAUCCUGGUCACAGAGUGGUUAAGGGAAAUGGCAGCAGAGUCUCUCUGGCAAGGGGCCAUUAAGGAACUCUUCCUACAGUGCUUUCAAUAGAUGCCCAUCACAUACCUGUCCUCUGCCAGGCCCUCUCAGACCCUGCACCAUGGAUAGGUGGACACGUGUGUUCCUUCCUCGUAAGAAAGAUUGCAGCAAAUACAGCCUCAAAGAGCUUAAUCUCUGGCCUGGACAGCAAGACGAAUGCACUUCCUGGUCAGAGGGAUGGUGCAGCAAAGUGUGGUCAUGUCUCGGAACCGUGGGCACAGGGCUUGGAAUGUGCUGGAUCGAAGGCCACAGGGCCAGUGGGCGCCUUCGGCAGAGUCAAGACCACUGGGCUAGAACAUGAGGAUUGUGUUCUGAAACGAAGGGAGAUACAAGAGCACAGGAGCCCCCACUUUGAAGCUGCUCAAGAAGAGGAAGGACAGGCACAGCUAACUUAGAACAGUGAGCACAUCCGAGGUCUCAAACCUGCAAGUCACAUGGAAGCUGACUUGGGAGACCAAAGGGUGGGGAAAGGUGGACAGAUGGAAGCCCAGAGCUAGCACCAGCCAUGUUUGGAGACUAGAUGAUUAGAGGGAUCACGGGGUAUGAGCUCUGCUGGGUAGAGGGCAGAGAUAAGCUAACACUGGGUGACAGAGUAGCUCGUGAACACGUGAAGGGGACUGGGCUGAAAUCCAGAAGGAGUGUACACACUAAGUGUGUUGAUGCCAGCUUGCAGUCCCAACUACUGGGGAGGUUAAAGCAGGAGGACUGAGUUCAAGGUGAGGCUGGCCUGCAGAGUUGAGUUCAAAGGCCAGUAGGGGUUACAGAAUGAGUUCAAAUCCAGCCUGGUUAGGGAGAAUGUGGGGUGAUGGCUCAGCAGUUAACACUGGACUGCUCAGGCUGAGGAUCUCAGUUCUGUUCCCAAAACCCACAUGGUGGCUCACACCAUCUGUAACCACAGUUCCAGGAAAUCCAAUGCCCCCUUCUGGCCUCCACUGGCACCAGGCACUUUCUUGGAACACAGAGAGGUGGAUGAAGAGAUGACUCAGUGGUAUAGGGUACAUGCUACUCUUGCAGAGAACCUGGGUUCAGUUCCUAGGACCCAUGUCAGACAGCUCACAACUCCAGUUCCAGGGGAUCCAAUUCCUCUAACCCAGUCAGUGGUUUCCAGCCUUCCUAACGCUUUGACCCUUUAAUACAAUUCUUCUUAUUGUGGUGACUGCCAACCAUAAUUUUAUUUUCAUUGUUAUUUUAUAACUAAUUUUGCUACCGUUUUGAAUCAUAAUGCAUGUGGGAUUGUUAAUCAUAUUCAGGAUAUUUGAUAUGCAACCCUUGUGAAGGGGCUGUUUGAUCCCCCAAAAGGGUCAUGGCCCACAGGUUGAGAACCAGUGUUCUAAGUUCUUUAUGUGCACACAUAUGUAUGUGCAUAUAUCCCACCCCACACCCACAUACACAUAAUUUUAAAAGAGAUUACAUUUUUUUAAAAAAAUAAGUGUGGCAUUGAGGUGUGGGUCCAUGGGAGAGCAUUUGCCCAGCAUGAACAAGGCUCUUCUGGGCUCAGCUCUCAACACUGAGAACAAAUAAACAAAGCCCACAAGUAGGUCGGACUCAAAUGGAACAGGAACUCUAGUGCCACGGUGACAUCAUAGUUUAGGAAGUAAGAGAGGUCUCUCCAGUACCUUCUGCCAAAAUGACAAGGAGCUGGGGAUUGGAGCUGAGUUGUGGAUCGUACCGUAUACCCAUUGCUUUGGUGGUAAAUGCUGCUGAACCGCCAAACUUCACAUGGUCGAUUUAAUCCCAGAUGAAUAUCAACCCAAGUAGAUGAAAGAUAAAAAAGCUCGAGCCACAAGGCCAUGUCUGGAGGUCAAGGGCGUUGUCAGAGUUCAGACUUCCCAGCUCUUAAAAUCUGCAGCCUACUUCUGAGUGAUUCAUCUGUUCUUCGUUUAUAAGUUUUUUGCCUUAGCUUCAUUUCCUGUUGCUAUGAUAACACACAUAUGCGCACGCAUGCGCGCGCGUGCACGCGCACACACACACACACACACACAAGGAAGAAAGGCUCUUAGGGGGGGGCUCACAGUUCCAGCAGUUCUUUAUGGUGAGGGAGGCAGGGAGACAAGAAGCUGGAGCCGCUGGCCACACCACAUCUGCACCAGGAGCUAAGAGCGAUGGGCAUACUCAUCUACCACUUGGCUUUCUCCAUUUUAUUGGAUCCCAUGCCUAGGGAGCCUCACCCGCAGUUAAGAUGGGUCUUCCUGACUCAAGUAAUAUAACCAAGACAACUCCCUGAACCCUUGCCACACUGGCAGCCCAUCGCCGACGUGGUGACAAAUUCUGCCAUAUUGACAUUAGUGUUAACCAUGGCAUGUGUACAGACAGGAAGCAAAGUGGCAGCUUUUCAGUCAAGAUUGUAGGAAUGUGGAUAUUUAUGUGAAUACUCUUCUGCAAAGUUUUUACACACUUGAAAUUUUUCUG